UUGAGCCGGAUGAAAGGAAACUUUCACGUCCGGUUUUGAAGGGGGGGAUAUCCUAUAUAGGAUCCUAUCCCGAU
rfam:Daucus carota subsp. sativus cultivar DH1 chromosome 3, whole genome shotgun sequence.